UCAAUUGAGCAUCCUGUUGCGCUAACAGUUUCUAUUUGAUUUUGCCCUUAUCACAUCGCAUCGGCUAAUAAUUCCUAACUUCUCUCGCUCUAACGUGCAUUGCAGAAGAAGGAUGGAAACGAGAAUAAGCGAGUUUUGUCUAGUAUUGAUGCUGAUGAAAAUGGAUCCAGGAAAAGAACAACAUUCGCGUCUCAGGGGAACAAGCCAUGACCUAGACGCCAACCAAGCGAUCUUGGCAAUUUUUAAAAAUCUUCAAAGACAAGUAAGGAAAGACACCUCUGUCAGCCUCUUUAAGGAAUACCCGACAUGAUUUCUAAGAGACGUUGUUAAACUAACGACAUUCCAGGACUAUCCACCUAGAGUGAUCUGUGAUUUUAAUACAAAGAGGCCAACGACCGAAGUCAAUCUUCGCCUUUGAGAUGUCUCUAAGCAACAGAACCGAUCUAACAUCGAUUAAGAAACACGAUACGACACUUCGAUUUUUCAAACCAUCAUAGUGUUUUACUUUCCUUAAAUCCCAGUACAAUAGACCGCGAAAAUGCCGGAAAGUGUAGAUGUAUUCGCCGGCCAAAAUGCUGAGAAGUACGAGGCCAGAGAAGGAAGAGAGCACCUGCCGAUGGAGCAGCUUGUCAUGAGGAGCCAACUCUGGAUUUCCAACCUCCUUAGGGAGACUACUGCCAUUAGAAGACACGUGCUUCAACAAAUCUCCCAGCCCAGAUAUGAGUAAGUCAGUUUCACAUAACACUUGCCUUUGCUACUGUGUGGUCAGAACUGACAAAUGUUUGUUGAACUUAAUUCCAGAGAGCAAGACCAUUCGACCAGUACCUACGCAGCAUUGAUGACAAUUUCUGUUUGCUUAUAAAUCUCACCUACUCAAAAAGCUAAGCCCAAUAUAACGUCAUACACAAUGUUAACCACUUUCUCUGAUAUUUUUUCAGGGCCCAACAUCACGUCUCUACUUCA